rnacentral:rRNA from 1 species
GCAAGUCGAACGAGAAAGGCCCUUCGGGGACGAGUAAAGUGGCGGACGGGUGAGGAACGCGUGGAUAACCUGCCCUUCAGCGGGGGAUAACUAUUCGAAAGGAUAGCUAAUACCGCAUAAGACUACGACUCCUGCGGGUAACGUAGUUAAAGGCUUCGGCCACUGAAGGAUGGGUCCGCGUCCGAUUAGCUUGUUGGUGGGGUAAAAGCCUACCAAGGCUACGAUCGGUAGCUGGUCUCAGAGGAUGAUC